UUGCUUCAGGGAUGAACAGGUCCCUUACAUGCAUCCCCAUCCUUUUUCACUUUGUCAGCAACAAUUUCUUUGUAUCUUGCUGAUCAUUUGAGGAUGGAACAAUU